rnacentral:piRNA from 1 species
UUUUCUUUCAUGCAGCGAGAU